UACGGGGGGGGCAAGCGUUGUUCGGAAUUACUGGGCGUAAAGGGCUUGUAGGUGGCCAACUAAGUCAGACGUGAAAUCCCUCGGCUUAACCGGGGAACUGCGUCUGAUACUGGAUGGCUUGAGGUUGGGAGAGGGAUGCGGAAUUCCAGGUGUAGCGGUGAAAUGCGUAGAUAUCUGGAGGAACACCGGUGGCGAAGGCGGCAUCCUGGACCAAUUCUGACACUGAGGAGCGAAAGCCAGGGGAGCAAACGGG
rnacentral:rRNA from 1 species